AUCACCACUUUGUAAGCCCAAGAAAAAUAUCAGAAUUGCAUCAAUGGCCUGAAAGCCCAGCAAACACACAUAAACAGGCCACUGGUUACAGGGUCACAGUGGCCACCCGUGGAGGUCACAUCCCAGGUUACAGGGUCACAGUGGCCACCCGUGGAGGUCACAUCCCAGGUUACAGGGUCACAGUGGCCACCCGUGGAGGUCACAUCCCAGGUUACAGGGUCACAGUGGCCACCCGUGGAGGUCACAUCCCAGGUUACAGGGUCACAGUGGCCACCCGUGGAGGUCACAUCCGGCAAUCUCAGCUCUGUGUCCCUCAUAACACCACAUCUCCUGAAAUGAAAAUCUCUCACCUUCAGUCUUCUCCGUCACCCAGUCAUUUACGUGUUUCCUGCAUUCUUCAGUGUCUUUAGAAAAGUUCAG